rnacentral:rRNA from 2 species
AGAACGACUCUCGGCAACGGAUAUCUCGGCUCUCGCAUCGAUGAAGAACGUAGCGAAAUGCGAUACUUGGUGUGAAUUGCAGAAUCCCGUGAACCAUCGAGUCUUUGAACGCAAGUUGCGCCCGAAGCCGUUAGGCCGAGGGCACGCCUGCCUGGGCGUCUCAC